AGAGUUUGAUCCUGGCUCAGGACGAACGCUGGCGGCGCGCUUAACACAUGCAAGUCGAGCGAGAACCGGAGCUUCGGCUCCGGGGACAGCGGCGAACGGGUGAGUAACACGUGGGUAAUCUGCCCUCGGUUCUGGGAUAGCCCGGGGAAACUCGGAUUAAUACCGGAUAGCCUCUCUGGCCUUCGGGCCGGCGAGAAAAGGUAGCUUCGGCCUCCGACUGAGGAUGAGCCCGCGGCGGAUUAGCUUGUUGGUGGGGUAACGGCUCACCAAGGCGACGAUCCGUAGCUGGUCUGAGAGGACGAUCAGCCACACUGGGACUGAGACACGGCCCAGACUCCUACGGGAGGCAGCAGUGGGGAAUCUUGCGCAAUGGGCGAAAGCCUGACGCAGCGACGCCGCGUGAGGGAAGAAGGCCUUCGGGUUGUAAACCUCUUUCAGGUGGGACGAAGCCACUCGGGUUAAUAGCCCAGAGGGUGACGGUACCUCCAGAAGAAGCCCCGGCUAACUACGUGCCAGCAGCCGCGGUAAUACGUAGGGGGCAAGCGUUGUCCGGAUUUAUUGGGCGU
rnacentral:rRNA from 1 species